CGAGUGGCACGCAUAUUGUGUGUCUGUCCACCCGUCUAAAAAACGGGUGUUAGCAAGGGCCGGGCAAGACCGGUGCCAGCCGCCGCGGUAAUACCGGCGGCUCGAGUGGUGGCCGAUAUUAUUGAGUCUAAAGGGUCCGUAGCCGGCUUUGCAAGUCUUUUGGGAAAUCCAGCGGCUUAACCGUUGGGCGUCUGAGAGGUACUACAUUGCUUGGGACUGGGAGAGGCGAGAGGUACUCAAGGGGUAGGAGUGAAAUCCUGUAAUCCUUUGGGGACCACCGGUGGCGAAGGCGUCUCGCCAGAACAGGUCCGACGGUGAGGGACGAAAGCUAGGGGCACGAACCGGAUUAGAUACCCGGGUAGUCCUAGCCGUAAACGAUGCUCGCUAGGUGUCACGGCAGUCGUGAACUGCCGUGGUGCCGUAGGGAAGCCGUGAAGCGAGCCACUUGGGAAGUACGACCGCAAGGUUGAAACUUAAAGGAAUUGGCGGGGGAGCACCACAACGGGUGGAGCCUGCGGUUUAAUUGGACUCAACGCCGGGAAGCUUACCGGGAUCGACAGUUGUAUG
rnacentral:rRNA from 1 species